UACAGAGGGUGCGAGCGUUAAUCGGAAUUACUGGGCGUAAAGCGCGCGUAGGCGGCUUUGCAAGUCGAUUGUGAAAUCCCCAGGCUUAACCUGGGAACUGCAUUCGAGACUGCAUAGCUAGAGUAUGGGAGAGGGAAGUGGAAUUUCAGGUGUAGCGGUGAAAUGCGUAGAUAUCUGAAGGAACAUCAGUGGCGAAAAGCGACUUCCUGGACCAAUACUGACGCUCAUGUGCGAAAGCGUGGGGGAGCAAACAGG
rnacentral:rRNA from 1 species